AUUGAACGCUGGCGGCAGGCCUAACACAUGCAAGUCGAGCGAGCGGCGGACGGGUGAGUAAUGUAUGGGGACUGCCCGAUCGAGGGGGAUAACUACUGGAAACGGUAGCUAAUACCGCAUACUAUCGGAUAGCCCAUAUGGGAUUAGCUAGUAGGUGAGGUAAUGGCUCACCUAGGCGACGAUCCCUAGCUGGUCUGAGAGGAUGAUCAGGUACACCGGGACUGAGACGAGGCCCAGACUUCCACGGAGGCAGCAGUGGGGAGUAUUGCACAAUGUGCGCAAGCCGGAUGCAGCCAUGCCGGGUGUAUGGAGAAGGCCCUAGGGUUAUAAAGGAUUUUCAAUCGGGAGGCGUUACCGACAGAAGAAGCACCGGCUAACUCCGUGCCAGCAGCCGCGGUAAUUC
rnacentral:rRNA from 1 species